GUUUUGGAGUGCAGGCGUGAAUAGUCCUUUCUGUCCUGCUUUGAGUACUGCUGUUGGGUGCCUUGGGGGGACCUUAAGGGAGCUCGGAAGUUGAGACGUGGUGAGUGCGAGAUCACUGCCCACAAAGGGGAGGAGCAGGCGGAUGAACAGCCAGAGCUGCAAUGGUGGAUCCUCCUCCAGGGCUGCAUGGGACGACAGAUAGAUGAGGCUCUAGGACGGGCACAAAUGCUACCCGAAUGCAAACCACUCCGGAGAUCUGUAAAAGGACUGGCCCCGGACAGGAAGCACACUUUAAACUAGAGGCGGGGUAAGACUCGUGGGCCAAUCAAGGCUUCCGAACAGAACUGCCAUUCUGGCAAUGAGGCGGGGUCUUCCGGUUGCCUGCUGGAAGUUUGUUUUUGCUCUGCAGGAUUGAAGGGUUCUCCCUAUGCUGCUUUGAGCGCUGCUAUUGGGUGCCUUGAGGGGACCUCAAGUAAGCUCCAUUUUUGAAACAUGAUCUUCAUCCACAUCUUGAAGUUUGAAGUUUGGCCAAGAAUAUACAAAAUAGAUUCUCUUUCUCAGGAUGGCAAGUGUUCAUGACAUCAAUACUACCCAAGGCUUCAGAGUCAUUGGAUUGCAGGAUGCAGUGACUUAUGAUGAUGUGCGUGUGAACUUCACUGAGGAAGAGUGGGAUUUGCUGGAUCCUUCCCAGAAAAGUCUCUAUGAAGAGGUGAUGCUAGAGACAUACCAGAACAUCACUGCUAUAGGUAAGACUGAAUUUCCUCUUGCUUUUCUGAAUAAGGGACAAAUAUUUCUUUGUUAUUGAUCCUCUGUUGUUUCAAUUGAAGAGGAGGAAGAAUGAGCUUACAGGCAUGAAAGAAUUCAUAUUGGAGAGAAACCGUAUGAACGUAACCAAUGGGGUAAAGCCUUUGCAAGUGACAAUCAUCUCCAAAUACGUAAAAGAACAAAUACUGGAGAGAAACCUUAUGAAUGUAAUCAAUGUGGUAAAGCCUUUUCACAACAGAGUAGUCUCCAGUAUCAUAAAAGAACAUAUGCUGGACAGAAACCUUAUGAAUGUAAUCAGUGUGGUAAAGCCUUGUCAUGUCAAAGAAAUCUCCAAUAUCAUAAAAGAACACAUACUGGAGAGAAACCCUAUGAAUGUAAUCAGUGUGGUAAAGCCUUCACACAUUACAAUAAUCUCCGAUAUCAUAAAAGAACACAUACUGGAGAAAAACCUUAUGAAUGUAAUCAGUGUGGUAAAGCCUUUGCACGUUACAAUAAUCUCCAGUGUCAUAAAAGAACACAUACUGGAGAGAAACCUCAUGUGUGUGAUCAAUGUGGUAAAACCUUUGCAUGGCAGUAUACUCUCCAAAAACAUAAAAGAAUACAUACUGGAGAGAAACCUUAUCAAUGUAGUCAAUGUGAUAAAGCAUUUUCAGAACACAGUAGUCUUCAAUAUCAUAAAAGAACACAUACUGGAGAGAAACCUUAUGAGUGUGAUCAAUGUGGUAAAGCCUUUGCUUGGCAGUGUAGUCUCCAUAUCCAUAAAAGAACACAUUCUGGAGAGAAACCUUAUGAGUGUAAUGAAUGUGGUAAAGCCUUUGCACAUCACACUAGUCUCCAAAGUCAUAAAAGAAUACAUACUGGAGAGAAACCUUAUCAGUGUGAUCAGUGUGGUAAAGCAUUUGCACAUCAAAAUAAUCUCCAAUAUCAUAAAAGAACACAUACUGGAGAGAAACCAUAUGAAUGCAAUCAAUGUGGUAAAGCCUUUGCAAGUCACAGUCAUCUCCAAAUACAUGAAAGAACACAUUUUAGAAAAAACCCUUAGAAUGCAAUCAAUGUUGUAAAGACUUUGGAUGUAAGACUAAUCUCCAAAGACAUAAAGGAAUAUAUAUGGGACAGAAACCUUAUGAAUGUAAUCAAUGUGGUAAAGCAUUUGCAACUCACAGUCAUCUACAAUGACAUAAAAGAACACAGAGGAGAGAAACCUGGUUAUUGUUUACAUAUUGACAUAAGGAGAUGCAAGUAUGUAUCAACUUGACAAGGGAUGGAUUGUGAUUGCUACUCUUGGUUUUCAAUAUAAGAUCUAAAGUGGAAAGCAUAGGUCCAGGCAUGGUGGUACAUGCCCUUGAACCCUAGGAGAUGAGCAUCAAGCAGAUCUCUGAGUUCAAGUCCAUCCUGAUACAGAACAAGUUUCAGGUGAAGAAAAGCUAAGGUCUAGGCCGGUGGAUACAGAGCCUUGCAGAUCUCUGAGUUCAAGGUCAGUAUAUAGAGCAAGUUCCAGGACAGCCAAGCUGAGGCAGUAAAGGAGUUGGAGAACAGAAAACUGGUGAUAAUGUAAUAGAAGAGGCCAUGUCCCAGGCCCAGAAAGCAGCAGAGCUCAGCAACUUUGUCCAUGUGGCUCUGACUUUAGAGGUAAGAAUAGAAGGGACUACUGGGAAAAUUGAAGCUUGUUAGCUGUGGAUGAGAAAUUAGAAGUGAUGAAGAAGAGACCAGCAUCAUUGAGGUGAAAUUUUCUAGGAAGUGUUUUCUGAGAGGACAAAGAAACUGUGUUCCAGAGAUAGCCAGGAUUGUACCUUGUGUUGCAGCUGAACUUGGUCACAUGUAAGAAUCAUCCAGGUGGUACUGGUUUUGAAGGCAUGACGGUGUCAUGAGGAGCAGCUGAGGCUUGGACCAAUGAAGGGAGCAUAAGUGAGACUAUCAGUGAAGCCUAGUUGCAGGAGAAGAACCCAACAUAUUGAAGAUGCCAGUCCAAUGGGAUGAGCAGAAAGAACAGCCCAGUAGAGUGGAGUCAACCAGAGCUUAGAGUGAUACAGAGGUCAGAGCUAGAGAAGUGACCUUAUCUCUUUGGAGGACUGCAGAAGAUCAUGUGUGGAUCCAAGACAUUGGAGCAAGAAGCUGUAACACUGAGGUUACCUUCCAGACCCCAAGAUCUUUGAGAUGUCAGAGCUGUGGGGUACCUGCUCAGGAAAACCAGCCAAAGAGAAAGAAUUGUGCUGCAGUUAACAAAGCAUAAAAGGAGUUGGAGAUCUAAAGAAUGCUUUAACAUGACACAUGGAGAUGCAGUUUCAAGAUUUCCAAGUUGACUUUUGGUUUUGUUUUCGUCCAGUAAUUCCUCAUGAUGACAUUUUGGAAUGGUGAAGUCUAUGUUGUGAAGUUGGAAUUAUAUGAUCUGCAUUUAGAUUUUUCUUUUUUAGGGGAUUACAGUUACAUUGAAUGAAUCUCAGAAGAGACUUUGACCUUUGGACUUUUAACGUAUUUGAGACUGGUAUAGAUGAUGGGGACUUUUGAGGUUGGACCUCGUGUAUUUUUCAUUAUGCAUGUUUAAAUAUGUUCCUUAUACAUUCCUGUACUCCAACAUGCUUAAGGGGGCCAGUGAGUGGAAUGUGGGAGUUUGAAUAUGCUUGUGACAGGGAGUGACUCUAUUCAGAGGUGUGACCUUGUAGGAGAAAGUGGAUAUCUCUGGGGGUGGACUUUGAAGCUCCACCAAGUGCAAAACAGACCCUCCUAUUCCCUCUCUGGAAGACAGUUUCUUCCUGGCUGCCUUUGGAUCAAAAUGCAGAACUCUCAGCUCCUUCUCCAGCAUCAUGUCUGCCUGCAUGCUGCUGUGCUUCCUCUGAAACUGUAAGCCAGCCCCAAUUAAAGGUUUGCUUUUAUGAGAGUUGCCAUGGUCAUGAUGUCUAUUCCUAGCAAUGGAAACACUAAGACAGAAACCUUGGGAGUGUAUUUAAUAUAGUGAAACCUUUUCACAAUUCUGUAGGCUUCAUCAUCAUGAAAGAAUAUAUACUGGAGCCAGACAGUGGUGGUGCAUGCCUUUAAUCCCAUCACUUGGGAGGAAGAUGCAGGCAGACUUCUGAGUUCUCGGCCAGCCUGGUCUACAAAGUGAUUUCCAGGACAGCCUGGGCUAUAGAGAGAAACCCUGUCUUGAAAAACCAAAACAAACAAAAGAGUAUGUCCUGGAGAGAAACCUUUUGAAUGUACUUCCUAUGGUUAGGCUUCUUCCUACGGUUAAGAAGGAAUCACUUUGACAGAUACAGUUCUCAUUCUCUGUCUUUAGAACCUGAGCAUCACCCAGGAGUUCAUGACAAGCUCCUUCUUGGACCCUGUCUACAUGUGUUAAAUCAGAAGUUUUGCUCUCAGUAUAUGACUCCUAGAAAAAUAAUUAAAGGUGGCCCCUGAACUCUAUAUUUCUGACUCUCCAGUUACUACUAAUCUAUCUUUCAAGCAGAGGCCCCAUAUCCUUGAGCUCUCUGGGAGCAGAGGUGAUCAGAAAGGUAGUCAAGGGCUCUGAAGCCCCUCAGGCACACGCGAGGUUUCAGGCAACACCAGCCCCACUCUGAAGCACACACACAAAAUCCUGUUGAGGAUUAAUCUAAUGCCUGCUCUCUGACACAGCGUUUGCAACACAGCAGGUAGAACUUGCCAUAUCCACCCAACAAACCCCAUACACAUCUAGGAAACUUCUACAGCUCAGAAACUCCUGUUGUACCUGAAAUUGGAUUUCCCAGAAUCAUGCCAGGUUCAAUGGUGGCAGUGGAAAAGUGAAAAUAUUCUGAUCAAGUAUUGCUAAACAAUGAUCCCCAUCACUGCCUUUAUACGACUUUCAAAUACUUCAUAACAUAUGUCACACAACAGUGAAUGUGUUUGAGCCUAUCCCUAACCCCUAACCCUAACCACUAAUUCCUUACCCUGUUAUCUCUUGACUCUCCUCUAUGUAUACUGAAUAGAGUAUAGAAUUAGGCUUAGAUUGAUGCCAGUUUGUCAUUAAUGUUUGCCUGAAGACAGACUUUUUUCCCAUAUGUAUUUCCUUCAAGUCUCAUACUCUAAGUGCCUUAAAUGCCUCACUUAUUCCUUCACAACUUGCAAGCAUUUUUGUAGGGUUUUAUUUUUCAUAUUGGAACGUUCCUUCAUAAUCUACAUAUAACGCCUACUUUGUUAAAACUGUUUCAAUGUUUCAUCACUCUAACAUUUUAUAUUUGCUAAUACCAUAAGAUACAAUAGGUUUAACAAAUCCACCAUCUCCUGUGAGAACAUUUAUUCAAGGGUGGGGAAUAAGCAAUGUUUAUCUCCUCUUUCUAAGUUCUCAGUGGCACCACAUCUCAAAAUUACCAUAGUUCAACCAAAGAUGCCAGUGAAAUUACUGAGUUUCCCUUAUAAAAUAUUGACAAGGUGUUUCUUAUGAGACCUGGAUAUCCUAGAAUCAGUCACAAUAAAAAUGCUUUACUCAUUAUGUAUGGAGACAAUUUCACAUUACAUAAAUAGUUAUACCUCUUCCCCCGAUAAAACUACUGGCCAGCCAUGUCCUCUUUUUUACAGGCAUGAAAGAAUUCAUAUUGGAGAGAAACCGUAUGAACGUAACCAAUGGGGUAAAGCCUUUGCAAGUGACAAUCAUCUCCAAAUACAUAAAAAAACAAAUACUGGAGAGAAACCUUAUGAAUGUAAUCAAUGUGGUAAAGCCUUUUCACAACAGAGUAGCCUCCAGUAUCAUAAAAGAACACAUGCUGGACAGAAACCUUAUGAAUGUAAUCAGUGUGGUAAAGCCUUGUCAUGUCAAAGAAGUCUCCAAUAUCAUAAAAGAACACAUACUGGAGAGAAACCCUAUGAAUGUCAUCAGUGUGGUAAAGCUUUUGUAAGUCCCAGUCAACUCCAAAAACAUAAAAGAACACAUACUGGGGAAAAACCUUAUGAAUGUAAUCAGUGUGGUAAAGCCUUUGCAAAUCACAAUAAUCUCCAACGUCAUAAAAGAACACAUACUGGAGAGAAACCUUAUGAAUGUAAUCAGUGUGGUAAAGCCUUUGCAAAUCACAAUAAUCUCCAAUGUCAUAAAAGAACACAUACUGGAGAGAAACCUUUUGAAUGUAAUCAAUGUGGUAAAGCCUUUGCAUGGCAGUGUACUCUCCAAAAACAUAAAAGAACACAUACUGGAGAGAAACUUUAUCAAUGUAAUCAAUGUGAUAAAGCAUUUUCACAACACAGUACUCUUCAAUAUCAUAAAAGAAUACAUACUGGAGAGAAACCUUAUGAGUGUAAUCAAUGUGGUAAAGCCUUUGCAUGGCAGUCUAGUCUCGAUAUGCAUAAAAGAAAACAUACUGGAGAGAAACCUUAUGAGUGUGAUCAAUGUGGUAAAGCCUUUACAUGGCAGUCUAGUCUCAAUAUGCAUAAAAGAAAACAUACUGGAGAGAAACCUUAUGAGUGUGAUCAAUGUGGUAAAGCCUUUCAAUGGCAGUAUAGUCUCCAUAUACAUAAAAGAAUACAUACUGGAGAGAAACCUUAUGAGUGUAAUGAAUGUGGUAAAGCCUUUGCAGGUCACACUGGUCUCCAAAGUCAUAAAAGAGCACAUACUGGAGAGAAACCUUAUCAGUGUGAUCAGUGUGGUAAAGCAUUUGCUCAUGAAAAUAAUCUCAAAUAUCAUAAAAGAACACAUACUGGAAAGAAUUCUUAUGAAUGCAAUCAAUGUGGUAAAGCCUUUGCAAGUCACAGUCAUCUCCAAGUACAUGAAAGAACACAUUUUAGAAAAAAACCUUAGAAUGCAAUCACUGUUGUAAAGACUUUGGAUGUAAGACUAAUCUCCAAAGACAUAAAAGAACAUAUACUGGACAGAAACCUUAUGAAUGUAAUCAAUGUGGUAAAGCAUUUGCAACUCAUAGUCAUCUACAACGACAUAAAAGAACACAGAGGAGAGAAACCUGGUUAUUGUUUACAUAUUGACAUAAGGAGAUACAAGUAUGUAUCAAAUUGACAAGGGAUGGAUUGUGAUUGCUACUCUUGCUUUUCAAUAUAAGAUCUAAAAUGGAAAGCAUAGGUCCAGGCAUGGUGGUACAUGCCCUUGAACCCUAGGAGAUGAGCAUCAAGCAGAUCUCUGAGUUCAAGUCCAUCCUGAUACAGAACAAGUUUCAGGUAAAGAAAAGAUUAGGUCUAGGCCUGUGGACACUGUGUUCCAGAGACAGCCAGAAUUGUACCUUGUGUUGCAGCUGAACUUGGUCACAUGUAAGAAUCACCCAGGUGUUACUGGUUUUGAAGGCAUGACAGUGUCAUGAGGAGCAGUACAGCCUUGCAGAUCUCUGAGUUCAAGGUCAAUAUGUAGAGCAAGUUCCAGGACAGCCAAGCUGAGGCAGUAAAGGAGUUGGAGAACAGAAAACUGGUGAUAAUGUAAUAGAAGAGGCCAUGUCCCAGGCCCAGAAAGCAGCAGAACUCAGCAGCUUUGUUCAUGUGGCUCUUACUUUAGAGGUAAGACUAGAAGGGACUACUGGGAAAAUUGAAGCUUGUAAGCUAAGGCUGAGAAAUUAGAAGUGAUGAUGAAGAGACCAGCAUCAUUGAGGUGAAAUCUUCUAGGAAGUGUUUUCUGAGAGGACAUAAAAACUGUGUUCCAGAGAUAGCCAGGAUUGUACCUUGUGUUGCAGCUGAACUUGGUCUCAUGUAAGAAUCACCCAGGUGGUACUGGUUUUGAAUGCAUGACGGUGUCAUGAGGAGCAGCUGAGGCUUGGACCAAUGAAGAGAGCAUAAGUGAGGCUAUCAGUGAAGCCUAGUUGCAGGAGAAGAACCCAACAUAUUGAAGAUGCCAGUCCAAUGGGAUGAGCAGAAAGAACAGCCCAGUAGAGGGGAGUCAACCAGAGCUUAGAGUGAUACAGACAGCAGAGCUGAAGAAGUGACCUUAUCUCUUUGGAGGACUGCAGAAGAUCAUGUGUGGAUCCAAGACAUUGGAACAAGAAACUGUAACACUGAGGUUACCUUGGAGACCCCAAGAUCUUUGAGAUGUCAGAGCUGUGGGGUACCUGCUCAGAAAAACCAGCCAAAGAGAAAGAAUUGUGCUGCAGUGAACAAAGCAGAAAGGAGUUGGAGAUCUGAAGAAUGCUUUAAUAUCACACAUGGAGAUGCAGUUUGGAGAUUUCCAAGCUGGCUUUUGGUUUUGUUUUGGUCCAGUAAUUCCUUGUGAUGACAUUUUGGAAUGGUGAAGUCUAUGUUGUGAAGUUGGAAUUAUAUGAUCUGUAUUUAGAUUUUUCUUUUUAAGGGGAUUACAGUUACAUUGAAUGAAUCUCAGAAGAGACGUUGAUCUUUGGACUUUUAACAUAUUUGAGACUGGUAUAGAUGAUGGGGACUUUUGAGGUUGGACCUCGUGUAUUUUUCAUUAUGCAUGUUUAAAUAUGUUCCUUAUACAUUCCUGUACUCCAACAUGCUUAAGGGGGCCAGUGAGUGGAAUGUGGGAGUUUGAAUAUGCUUGUGACAGGGAGUGACUCUAUUCAGAGGUGUGACCUUGUAGGAGAAAGGGGAUAUCUAUGGGGGUGGACUUUGAAGCUCCACCAAGUGCAAAACAGACCCUCCUAUUCCCUCUCUGGAAGACAGUUUCUUCCUGGCUGCCUUUGGAUCAAAAUGCAGAACUCUCAGCUCCUUCUCCAGCAUCAUGUCUGCCUGCAUGCUGCUGUGCUUCCUGCUAUGAUGAAAAUGGACUAAACCUCUGAAACUGUAAGCCAGCCCCAAUUAAAGGUUUGCUUUUAUGAGAGUUGCCUUGGUCAUGAUGUCUAUUCCUAACAAUGGAAACACUAAGACUUAAAUUUUGGGAGUGUAUUUAAUAUAGUGAAACCUUUACACAAUUCUGUAGGCUUCAUCAUCAUGGAAGAAUAUAUACUGGAGCCAGACAGUGGUGGUGCAUGCCUUUAAUCCCAUCACUUGGGAGGAAGAUGCAGACAGACUUCUGAGUUCUCGGCCAGCCUGGUCUACAAAGUGAGUUCCAGGAUAGCCUGGGCUAUAGAAAGAAACCCUGUCUUGAAAAAACAAAACAAAACAAAAGAGUAUGUACUGGAGAGAAACCUUUUGAAUGUACUUACUAUGGUUAAGCUUCUUCCUACGGUUAAGAAGGAAUGACUUUGACAGGUACAGUUCUCAUUCUCUGUCUUUAGAACGUGAGCAUCACAUAGGAGUUCAUGACAAGCUCAUUCUUGGACCCUGUCUACAUGUGUUAAAUCAGAAGUUUUGCUCUCAGUAUAUGACCUCUAGAAAAAUAAUUAAAGGUGGCCCCUGAACAUUUUAUUUCUGACUCUCCAGUUACUACUAAUCUAUCUUUCAAGCAGAGGCCCCAUGUCCUUGAGCUCUCUUUGGGAGCAGAGGUGAUCAGAAAGGUAGUCAAGGGCUCUGAAGCUCC
rnacentral:lncRNA from 1 species